AUUGACGGAGAGUUUGAUCCUGGCUCAGGACGAACGCUGGCGGCGUGCCUAACACAUGCAAGUCGAACGAGGUCGCCUUCGGGCAAUGACCAAGUGGCGAACGGGUGCGUAACACGUGAGAAACCUGCCCCGAAGACUGGGACAACCACGGGAAACUGUGGCUAAUACCAGAUGCCCUCCGCUGAUCGCAUGAUCGGCAGAGGAAAUGCUCCGGCGCUUCGGGAGGGUCUCGCGGCCUAUCAGCUUGUUGGUGAGGUAACGGCUCACCAAGGCAUCGACGGGUAGCUGGUCUGAGAGGACGAUCAGCCACACUGGGACUGAGACACGGCCCAGACUCCUGCGGGAGGCAGCAGUGGGGAAUCUUGCGCAAUGGGCGAAAGCCUGACGCAGCAACGCCGCGUGGGGGAUGAAGGCUCUCGGGUUGUAAACCCCUUUCAGCAGGGACGAAAUUGACGGUACCUGCAGAAGAAGCCCCGGCCAACUACGUGCCAGCAGCCGCGGUGACACGUAGGGGGCGAGCGUUGUCCGGAAUUAUUGGGCGUAAAGAGCUCGUAGGCGGUUUAGUAAGUCAGAUGUGAAAGGUUGGGGCUCAACCCUAAGACUGCAUCCGAUACUGCUAUGACUAGAGUCCGGUAGAGGAGUGUGGAAUUCCUGGUGUAGCGGUGAAAUGCGCAGAUAUCAGGAGGAACACCGACGGCGAAGGCAGCACUCUGGGCCGGUACUGACGCUCAGGAGCGAAAGCGUGGGUAGCAAACAGGAUUAGAUACCCUGGUAGUCCACGCCGU
rnacentral:rRNA from 1 species